CGGGGCGCCGCGCUGACGUUGCCCGGGAUGCGGGCAGGUUCCGCAGCCGUCUUCGCCGCCUCCGCCUCUCCUGCCACCCGGAUUAUCUGCAAUGCUGGAAUGAAGUAACUCAAGAUGAGCAAGCUAAAAGUGGUGGGAGAGAGAAGCCUUACCAAUAGUUCUCGGGUUGUGGGACUCCUGGCUCAGCUGGAGAAGAUCAAUACGGAUUCCGCAGAGUCAGAUACUGCCAGAUAUGUUACAUCCAAAAUUCUCCAUUUGGCUCAAAGUCAAGAAAAAACAAGGAGGGAAAUGACAACCAAAGGUUCUACAGGCAUGGAAGUUCUGUUGUCAACAUUGGAGAACACGAAAGAUCUUCAAACUAUACUUAAUAUCCUAAGCAUUCUCAUUGAGCUGGUGUCAUCUGGUGGAGGUCGAAGAGCGAGUUUCUUGGUUGCCAAAGGUGGUUCACAAAUACUGUUGCAACUGCUUAUGAAUGCCAGCAAAGACUCUCCCCCACACGAGGAGGUGAUGGUGCAGACUCACUCCAUUCUUGCCAAGAUUGGACCAAAAGAUAAAAAAUUUGGAGUGAAGGCUAGAGUUAAUGGGGCACUGAAUGUAACUCUGAAUUUGGUCAAGCAGCACUUCCAGAACUACCGCUUGGUUCUUCCUUGUCUUCAGCUCUUGCGAGUGUAUUCUACCAACUCUGUGAACUCAGUAUCUUUAGGUAAAAAUGGAGUUGUGGAAUUGAUGUUUAAAAUUAUUGGACCAUUCAGUAAGAAGAAUUCAGCUCUCAUGAAGGUUGCUUUAGACACUCUUGCUGCAUUGCUAAAAUCAAAGACAAAUGCCAGGAGAGCAGUAGACAGAGGAUAUGUUCAAGUGCUUUUAACCAUUUAUGUAGAUUGGCACCGGCACGAUAAUCGGCACCGGAACAUGCUCAUUCGGAAGGGGAUUCUACAGAGCUUAAAAAGCGUCACAAACAUCAAGUUGGGAAGAAAAGCAUUUAUUGAUGCGAAUGGGAUGAAAAUUCUGUAUAACACUUCUCAAGAGUGUUUGGCGGUCAGAACUCUUGACCCUCUUGUCAACACAUCCAGUCUGAUAAUGAGGAAAUGCUUCCCCAAAAACCGCCUGCCACUUCCCACCAUUAAAAGUUCCUUCCACUUCCAGUUGCCAGUCAUCCCUGUGACUGGACCUGUGGCCCAGCUGUACAGCUUGCCGCCUGAAGUGGACGACGUGGUGGAUGAAAGUGAUGACAACGAUGACAUUGAUUUAGAAGCGGAAAAUGAACUCGAGAAUGAAGAUGACCUAGAUCAAAGUUUUAAGAACGAUGAUAUUGAAACAGAUAUUAAUAAAUUAAGACCCCAGCAAGUACCAGGACGAACAGUAGAAGAACUGAAAAUGUAUGAGCACCUUUUCCCUGAGCUUGUCGAUGAUUUUCAGGACUAUGAACUAAUCUCUAAGGAACCCAAACCUUUUGUAUUUGAGGGGAAGGCUCGGGGCCCCAUUGUAGUCCCCACAGCUGGAGAGGAGGUGCCUGGGAAUUCAGGGAGUGUGAAGAAGGGAGCAGCAGUGAAGGAGAGAACAAGUCCUAAAGGAGAGGAAGCUAAGGAUGACACCGAGGGCCACGACAGGACGCUGCCGCAGCAGCUGGGCGGCCAGAACGGAGCAGCCGCCUCAGCCCAGAGCUUCAACAGCGACCUCGUGAAGGCCUUAGACCGAAUCACAUUGCAGAAUAUCCCUUCACAAGUGGCCUCGGGCCUGAAUGCAGGGAUAAGGAAGGACUAUGGUCUCCCUCUCACUGUCCUCUCGUGCACGAAAGCGUGUCCUCAUGUGGCUAAGUGUGGAAGCACUCUUUUUGAAGGGCGGACAGUACAUCUUGGGAAGCUGUGUUGUACUGGGGUUGAAACUGAAGAUGAUGAAGAGACUGAGUCCCACUCAUCAGCAGAGCAGGCCUCCUCUGCUGAGGCCUCUGAUGGACCAACACUGCAUGACCCCGAUCUCUAUAUCGAGAUCGUGAAAAAUACGAAGUCUGUUCCAGAGUACUCAGAGGUGGCUUAUCCUGAUUAUUUUGGACACAUUCCACCUCCCUUCAAAGAGCCUAUUUUAGAAAGGCCUUAUGGUGUACAAAGGACAAAAAUUGCCCAAGAUAUCGAAAGGCUGAUACACCAGAGUGACAUCCUGGACCGGGUGGUGUAUGACUUAGACAACCCGACCUAUACCACUCCAGAAGAAGGAGAUACUUUGAAGUUUAACUCAAAAUUUGAAUCUGGAAAUCUGCGCAAAGUAAUUCAGAUUAGAAAAAGUGAGUAUGAUCUCAUUCUGAACUCUGAUAUAAACAGUAACCAUUACCAUCAGUGGUUCUACUUCGAAGUCAGUGGGAUGCGGCCUGGUGUGGCCUAUAGGUUCAACAUCAUCAACUGUGAGAAGUCCAACAGUCAGUUUAAUUAUGGUAUGCAGCCACUCAUGUACUCUGUCCAGGAGGCACUGAAUGCCAGGCCGUGGUGGAUCCGCAUGGGUACUGACAUUUGUUACUACAAAAAUCACUUCUCAAGAAGUUCAGUUGCUGCGGGCGGACAGAAGGGCAAGUCCUACUACACAAUCACCUUCACUGUGAACUUCCCGCAUAAAGACGACGUCUGCUACUUUGCCUAUCACUAUCCGUAUACGUACUCAACUCUGCAGAUGCAUCUUCAAAAAUUGGAAUCAGCACACAAUCCUCAACAAAUCUAUUUUCGAAAAGACGUGCUGUGUGAAACCUUGUCUGGAAACAGCUGUCCUUUGGUGACCAUAACAGCGAUGCCCGAGUCCAAUUAUUAUGAACAUAUCUGUCAGUUCAGAACUCGCCCUUACAUUUUCUUGUCUGCUCGGGUACAUCCUGGAGAAACUAAUGCGAGCUGGGUCAUGAAAGGAACACUGGAGUACCUCAUGAGCGAUAGCCCGACUGCCCAGAGCUUGCGGGAGUCUUACAUUUUUAAAAUUGUCCCCAUGCUAAAUCCAGACGGUGUCAUCAAUGGAAAUCACCGCUGCUCCUUAAGUGGAGAGGAUUUGAACAGACAGUGGCAAAGUCCAAACCCAGAGUUACACCCCACGAUUUACCACGCCAAGGGACUGCUGCAGUAUCUGGCCGCAGUGAAGCGCUUACCUCUGGUUUACUGUGAUUACCAUGGCCAUUCUCGAAAAAAGAAUGUAUUCAUGUAUGGCUGCAGCAUCAAAGAGACGGUGUGGCACACCCAUGACAACGCGGCUUCGUGUGAUGUUGUGGAAGACAUGGGAUACAGGACUUUGCCUAAGAUACUGAGCCACAUUGCUCCAGCAUUUUGCAUGAGCAGUUGUAGCUUUGUGGUCGAAAAAUCCAAAGAAUCCACAGCUCGGGUUGUUGUGUGGCGGGAAAUUGGAGUUCAGAGGAGCUAUACCAUGGAGAGUACUUUAUGUGGCUGCGAUCAGGGUAGAUACAAGGGUUUACAGAUUGGGACUCGAGAAUUGGAAGAGAUGGGAGCAAAAUUUUGUGUUGGUUUAUUGCGUUUGAAACGACUGACUUCUCCAUUGGAAUAUAAUCUGCCCUCCAACCUGCUUGACUUUGAAAAUGACUUAAUUGAAUCAAGCUGUAAAGUAACUAGGAACUGCGGCAGCUCGGAACUCCAGCUUCCCCCUGCAGCCUUUUGAACUUGCUGGCGCUCUGAUGACACCCCGCCCCUGGCAGCCCCGCCUUGCCUGCCUCCCACUGGACUUUGCCCCGCACGCACUUUUCCUUGCUGAGUUUGCUUUGUAUCCUUUCACUGCGAUAAGCCAUGAGUGUGAGCUCCGCUGUGUGCACCUCCCCUCAGCCACCACCUGGGGGCUUUGGGGUGCCCUGUUGUCUGCCCAUUGGAGUUUCUAUUUUGUUUGAUUAUCACAGAAGUGCAGUGAUUUGCUGAGACUGAUUGGAGCUAGAUCGUAUUGUAAAUUGUUGCUCAGAACUGCCCGAGGUCACAGUCUGAUGGUUCUGAUGGAAGGUCUCUAAACGUCACAGUCUCCACUGCCGAUGAUGCCCUAUAAGUGUACAAGUGACACGCAACGGUGACCUGGCCAUCUGCACUCUCCUGGGAGGACUUGCUCAGGGCAUUUAAUAGCUACAGCUUGCUACCGUUGCUUCACACCUCUUGUCAGCCAGCCAGACAUUAGCAAUUCUUUUCUCUUUUUCCAAAUAGAUGUUCUUUGGUCAGCUGUGUUGUAUAGUAGCUUAGCCUGCUUCCUCUUCUGUAUGUGCAUGUGCUUGUAAAUCUGUACACAGUAGCAAUUUUAGAACGACACACAUGUAUUCCUGUGAGAGGAAAGGUGGAUCUGAGUAUGUGAGGUAAUAUAAGGUGAGUUGCUGUGAUUGGCCCUAUGCCCGAAAACUUCCCCAGUAGAGCAGAGUAGUGAGAUGGGGUGGUGUGAACCGUCAUGGUCCUGUUGGCUCCUUAGUUUCUGUUGAAAGAUGCAGGCUGAGUGGGAACUGAGGUGGAUUGUUGGGGAUAUGGAGCCAAAGAGUUAGGAUACCUCGGCAGGUAGACAGAUAACAGCACCGCAGGCUCUGCUCCCUGCCACAUGACCAGAGACAGGCAGUGUAGUGGGGCCUCUGAGGAGAAGAGUCCAGACCCUCAUGGAAGUGAGGGUCUCUUCUCCCGACUGUUGAGGAUGGAGGUAGUCUCAGCACAAGACUCGGCUAGGCUCUGAUUCUCAGAAAGUAGCAAGUGGGGUGGGGAGCAAACGUAGCCCCCAGUAAAUGCCUUUCAGCAUAGACUCACUUGUCCAGAGAAGAAACCCUGGCACCUACAAGUCUGUCAGAGAGAGGAGUCACCGUGUUUCAGUAAGGCAAGGGGAGGGUUACUGUAGGUUCGGGAUGCUGCCAUCACAUUCUUACAUUCCUUUGGAAUUUGGCAAACAUUUACCGAGGUAGCUGAGAAGCAUUGCUAGGCCUUUUUGGGGCCACAGGACGUAUUUAGACGGGCAGCUCACAGUUCUUGACCUUUGGUCUUGAGGAAACAGGCCUGGAGUCAGAUGGGAUGUUUGCGCAGAGUACAGAGCGAGCGUGCAGAGUGGAAACACAUGCCGAGGCACCUGACAGAGCUGAGGAUGAGGCCAAGACCUGCUUUGAGAGAACCGUGAACCCCUGGGAGGAGAGGGUGAGGAGUACACCUGUGUGGAGAAAACGAGUUCGGUCAAAGCUUGUCAGGGAACACGUGGGCUUUGACAUGGUCUGGAGACCGCUGCCUUUCUUCUGGAGAAUUUUGAGUUGGGUGGCUUUCUAGAUGGAUUUCAGAAUAACAAAGAAGAGAUUUAGUGGAGAGAACCAUGAGUUCUCAGCAUGCAGUAUUGUGGUACGUGUGAGUUAGCCAUGUGAUGUCUCUGGCAAGUCUGUGUAUACAAGAGGAUCUUUGCUUUGUCCUUGCAUUAGGAAGAGAUGAGAGUGCACAUUAAGAUGGGCGAGUGCAUUCAGAGGGCACUCGCAGAUGGAAAACUGGGGCCAUGCAGACAGGCACAGGAGCGCAUGCUUGCCACUGAGCAGCAACAGGGAGAAGAGAAGCAGACCAGAGGAGGGCAGUGAACAGGCGGUGUGAUCCAUACUGCAAGAGCUAGCUCUGUGCAGAACGCAGAGUCGCAUGCCGCCCUCCAUCUCCUUACGCCUUGUUCAUAGACAUCUCUGCUCUGCUUCCUCGUGUGUGUGUGUGUGUGUGUGUGUGUGUGUGUGUGUGUGUGUGCGUGCUUGCGCGCGCACGCCUGGCAUGCUUAGUCCUGAUGAUGGUGACCUGCUAGCACUGGUGGCCCCGCUCCAGUAGCUGAGCCCAGGAGAGGGUUGUGAAGGCCGCCGAGGGCCACGCGCAGCCAAGCACUGCGGUCUCCCUUCCUACUCUUUCUGUUCUUUUAACAGAACAGGGGAGGAGCAGUUUCUGGUGAACACACAAGCCUUGCUUGUGCCAGAUGGAGGUGUGACCCAUGGCCUGCCAGGGCUGAGACAGCUUCUGCUGCAGGCCUGCCUGUCUCUCUUUCACUGUGUCUCUCCAUAGCUUGUCCUUUCCAUCAGAGGCUCCCAAGUCCUUGCUGUCUUGUAGGCUGCGUGGCCUUACUCAAGCACCCCUCUAGUUCUGUCUCUCAGUGGAGUACAGCUUUACGAAGGCUGGCCUUCAAACCUUCUCUGAAGUUCCAGUUAAUGAACUUUGGAAUCUGCCUUCACACACAAAUCCUUAUUCUGACCUGGGGCUCCUUCAAACAACCAGGAUCCGGCCUCUUCUUAUAGUAGACACCCACUGCCUUAGCUCUUCCCGAGCACCAUCCAGUCCCUGGCCUCUGGCCUCACCUCCUGGGCUACUGUCCUCUGCCCUCCAGCCCUGUCUGCCUGCAGUGCUAAGCAUCUCUCUCGUCCUCGCAGUCUGCAACAGGAGCUAAGCAGGCUGGUGCCCUCAGCGUGCCUGCUUUCCUCUCCUGGCUUUCUUUGUCUCUCAGACUCUCAGGAGUCACUCAGGACUUUGAGGAGAAUCUGAGGAAACUCUGAAGUCGAGGGGGAAUGGCUUAUUACAUUUUGAAAGAAAAAAAAGAUAGUAGCAGUCAUUGCCGAAACAAAUAAUCCUUUUAAACAAUCUUUCUGCCCAUUAAGACCUAGCUAUCAGAUUAAUAACUAAAUAUUUAAAUUUCAUGGUAAAAAUUGGAAUUUGUCCUUGUACUGUUAGGUCUGAUAAGUCUUGUCCAUUUUCUAAGCUAGGCAGUAUCUUUAUCUGGACUACAGAAUGAAGUGUAUGCUCUGAACUUCUAAGAGAAAAUCAAUUGUGUUAGAGGAAGAUGGCUUGCAGUCCCCCUCCCCACGAGGAUAAAGCUCAUUGGAGGAAUAAAGUGCUUUUCAGACGGGUCUCACCUUCUCUCAGAAUCGUAACCUCGGGGCCGGGCCGCUGCUCCUGCUUCAGUGUCGGCCUGGGAUUUGUGCUCAGCUCUGGGUUCAUUCAUCUCCAGAGCUCAUGGACCUGCAUUUCUCCUUAUUCGAACAGAUUUUUUCUCUUUUGUCUGAUUUUUAUACCUAUUAGUUGCUUCAUCUUUGAGAAAUCUUUUUUUUUUAGAAGUGACCUAUAAGCCAACAUACAUAUGAAAUUCAGGGUGGUUUUCUCACAGCUUCAGACCGUGUGACUUGCUCCUGCAGUGUCUGCUUGGUGUGACUGUGUCAGUUCCUACCCAUGGAGAGCAGGAAUGGAGGAGCAUUCUCACACCACACACCGUGUGACAGGCACCCGGCCUUCCACAGUGCUCCUCCGCGACCCAGUUGGGAGCAGUCCUGAGAGCCCCACCACUUACGUUUUGGAUGAAGAUGAACCUCGGUUCCUUGAAGAAGUUGAUUACAGUGCAGAAAGCAAUGACGAGUUAGAGGUUGAAUUAGCG